CGGUAACCAAGGACAGUCCUCGGGAUAGCCUGGGCGUCGAUAGCCGGAUAGUGCGACGUACUGAAAUAACACCGGCAGCC
rfam:Pseudomonas fluorescens ABAC62 scaffold2011_001, whole genome shotgun sequence.